rnacentral:rRNA from 1 species
UACGUAGGUGGCGAGCGUUGUCCGGAAUGACUGGGCGUAAAGGGAGCGUAGGUUGCGAUUUAAGUUAGGUGUGAAAGCCUGUAGCUUAACUACAGAAUUGCAUUUAAAACUGGAUUGCUAGAGUACAGGAGGGGUAAGCGGAAUUCCUAGUGUAGCGGUGGAAUGCGUAGAUAUUAGGAAGAACACCGGAGGCGAAGGCGGCUUACUGGACUACAACUGACACUGAGGCUCGAAAGCGUGGGGAGCAAACAGG